GAUGAAGAACGCAGCGAAAUGCGAUAAGUAAUGUGAAUUGCAGAAUUCAGUGAAUCAUCGAAUCUUUGAACGCACAUUGCGCCCCCUGGAAUUCCGGGGGGCAUGCCUGUUCGAGCGUCUCAGGGACGAACCCUCGCGCGGAUGUACGCGCGGUCGUGGCUGCGGUGGCGUGCCCGAGGCGGCGGCCACCGCGCUGGAAUCCAUGGGCGGACGCCUGCCGCGUGGCCGAGCGUGAUAUGACGCAUUGGCGCUCGCACGCGGCGAGGCUGCCAGCCCUGGCCCGUCUGUCGGGCGGGGGAGAGCAAGACACGUGAACUCCUCGAAUCAGGUAGGGAUACCCGCUGAACUUAAGCAUAUCAAUAAGCGGAGGA
rnacentral:misc_RNA from 1 species